rnacentral:rRNA from 1 species
CCUACGGGAGGCAGCAGUGGGGAAUAUUGGACAAUGGGCGAAAGCCUGAUCCAGCAAUGCCGCGUGAGUGAUGAAGGCCUUAGGGUUGUAAAGCUCUUUUACCAGGGAUGAUAAUGACAGUACCUGGAGAAUAAGCUCCGGCUAACUCCGUGCCAGCAGCCGCGGUAAUACGGAGGGAGCUAGCGUUGUUCGGAAUUACUGGGCGUAAAGCGUACGUAGGCGGUUAUUCAAGUCAGAGGUGAAAGCCUGGAGCUCAACUCCAGAACUGCCUUUGAAACUAGAUAGCUAGAAUCUUGGAGAGGUGAGUGGAAUUCCGAGUGUAGAGGUGAAAUUCGUAGAUAUUCGGAAGAACACCAGUGGCGAAGGCGACUCACUGGACAAGUAUUGACGCUGAGGUACGAAAGCGUGGGGAGCAAACAGGAUUAGAUACCCUGGUAGUCCACGCCGUAAACGAUGAUAACUAGCUGUUCGGGCUCUACGAGCUUGAGUGGCGCNGCUACGACAUUAAGUUAGUCCGUCCGUCGGGAGGUACGGUCGGCGAGAAGUUAAACGUUAAAGUUAGUUAAGUUAGUACGGUUCGUUGAGACGUUGCCGACGGACGACGACGAGGGAGGUUAGG